UUUAUAUAUACAUCUAUAGUUAAUAUGUACUUUUUAUAUUAUCUAUGUAUACCCUUGGCACUUUUGUUAUGUAUUUGUUGUUCAAGCAUUAAUAAAAAAAAACUAAUCCGCAGAGUAGCGGCGCUCUGAUGACGUAGAAUAGAUGCGACAGAGCGCACAGCUGCCCAAGCGGAAGGAAUGGCGUCACCAGGCCGGAAGUAAGCAAACUUUCGGCGAGAGCUUCUGUGGAUGUCACGGGGCCGAUGCAGGAGUCCAAGUUCUUUAAUGACUGAUAUACAUGAUGGAGUGUUAUGGCUGUUCUAUUCUAUCAGCUGAGUCGCCGAAUAGUUCAUUAUGCCAGUCACACGGGCUCCACGUCUGUUAGCCGCUAGCCUCAGGGGCAAUAUGCAGAGAAAGAGAAGAAAUCAUCCGUCACGUGGCCGGAGAAAUCGAGACCAGAAGAGAGAAAUCCGUAUAAGAUCCGUAUAACAGACCCAAAUAUUAUAUAGAAGUAGCGCCAGUAGUCUAACGCUGUGACUAUUUUACAGUUAAAACUCGUUAAAACUCGAGUGGAGAAGCGGCGAACAGACAACGCCAGCGUCCUCUUGCACCCAGGACCCCAGUGUUAGCUGGAGGACAGUAUGAGGGGUUGUGGGGACACACCCACAGCACACAGCAGAUAUAUACAAGACGGGGUGUAUUAUACAGGAUAGAUACAAGUGCUGUACAUGCAGUAACCGGGUGGAGCUUCAGGGUGGAGCUUCAGGGUGGACCAAGGCCAAAAUAAUAAGCAAAAGACCCUGUUAUAGGGAACUGCCUGACCUCCACACAAACACCAAAACAAAACACAGCAUUACUUCCCUCACUACGAAAUACGAGCUCUAGUGACUUCAGGUGCUGUUCCCAGAGCAAUCAUCGGAGCAUCUUACUGACAGCGAGAGAUGAAAGGCUCUGCUGUGGACCACGUAGCGCCACCCUGCCAUAUAAGGUAUGCAAAUAUAUACAAAUAUAGUGGUGCAACAGCCAACGGUAAGUUUUCCCAAUUUCAGCAUGAAGUCGUAAGCCAACUUUAUGAUUUCUAAGUGGAAUCAUCCACAGAAAUCUCAUGUAUCUUUAUGCUGUCCCUGGUGUUUAAUGAUCCUACUUCGAUCAAAAGGUGCAAGAUCUUUGUUGGUACCACAAAUACCAAAGGCUGCCGCAGGGGGUAGAGCUUUCUCUUACAAAGCCCCACAGUUAUGGAACAGCCUUCCACUUAGUGUUCGGGGCUCAGACACAGUCUCAGUGUUUAAGUCUCGGCUGAAAACAUAUUUGUUUAGUCAAGCCUUUAGUGAAUAGUUUUUUCUUAGGUACAGGGGCAGGUCUGGAGGGUUUCACAGGCAUAGUGAAGUUUGGAUGCUGUCGCCCCCCCACUCUCAUGCGUUCACUCAGGUUUGUCGACGGUGGAGUGGCUGCUGCUUUAUGUCCCAGGACUCCCUCAUGUCUGUGUUAGCUUCUGGCUCUCCCUUUUAGUUAUGCUGUCAUAGCUAGUCUUGCCGGAGUCCCUGCUUGCACUCUGCACACAAAGUACAUUGUCCUUAACCCUUACAGGACAAAAGCUUACUUAACAAUCUCUUCCUCUCUCUCCAUCUCUCUCUCUCUCUCUCUCUCUGUCGAGCUACACAUGCUACUCCUGGACCCACAUGGGCAGCCUGAAGAUCAUUGAGAUUACUGAUGGUACCACUUAAAAACCAUGAAGAUGGCUUUGGUUUCCUCCUUUUCCCAGCACCGAUAGGGUAGCUUUGCUUCAUUUUUGCUCUGUCUGUACACUUCACUGAGCUGUUUGUUUACACACUGUCUCUCUGAAUCAUUUCUACAGAUGCGCAGUAAAGAUCAUGGAACAGUCCAAUGUAGUACGUACUGAGGGAGUAAAACAAAGGGAGUAAAAUAAACUCAUGAAUUAAGCAUUCUGAUGACAUUUUAGGGUAGGGACUUUUAAUGAUUAAAAACUAUUAACUAAUAAACAAGCAGCGGCAUAUGCAUUAUUGAAACGUCGCUGGGGCUCCACACAACCCAAACGGAAGGGUGACAAACUGGUGUAACACAAACUGUGGAAAAGGCUGUUUUUUUCACGAGAUAUUGCAGUCAAGGGAAUCUGCCAAUACCCCUUGGUUAAAUCUAGUGUUUAAUAAAUGUGAGCCGUGCCUAACCGAUUGAGCAAUUCAUCAAUGUCAAUCAGAUAUGCGUCAAAUUUAGAUGCCGCAUUGACUUUUCUAAAGUCCACACAAAAAUGGACCUACCCAUCGGCCUUGGGCAUCAAAACCACCGGGCUGCUCAAGUCACUUUGGGACUGUUAUCCCAAACCACCUUUUUUUGUAAAUGGGUGCGGUUGACUGCGUACCAGCACACCUGGAGGAGUCUCAAUGUGGUGUUUUUUGAGAUUGGUGUUACCAGGUAGAGGUGAAAACACAUCAGAAAAUUCCUCCUGCAACCUGAGAUUGAGGUGGUAUACCUGAAGUGUAUCGCCUCUAUCUGUUCGCCUGACCUCAUACUUGACCCUAUUUGAGGUGAGGAGGAAAAUGGGACCUACCACUUAUGAGAUGUCGAUAUGGGGGGUGGAGGAGGGGGUAUAAACUGAUGAACAGUAGCUACCUCAGCCAUCUUCAGGAGGUAUGACCAUCACCCUGAAAACCAACAAGACCAAGUAAGAACUCUGUGCCAGUCAGAAGUGUUUCCAGAAACACCAGGAAAAACACAGUUGAUAGAACAUGAUAUUGUGCUUAAUGCUGAUGAUUGUGUGAGACAUGCGACUUUCAGAAUCCCAGAACGUCUGCAGAUAGCCUUGAAGCAGGAGGUCAACUUGAUGCUGAGCUUGGGGAUAAUUGAGCCGUCAAGAAGCUAAUGGUGCCAUCCAGUGGUCUUGGUGCCAAAGAAAGAUGGUACUAUGAGGUUUUGUAUCGACUUUAGGUAUCUCAUCGCAGUCUCAAAUUUUGACUCCUAUCCUACACCAUGAAUGGACAAUCUCAUUGAGUGUGUUGGUAAAGCCAAGUACCUGAUCACUAUAACCCUCUGUAAAGGUUACUGGCAGAUCCUCUUGACCCUGCGGUCCCAGGAGGCCUUUAGAACAUCAAGGGGCCUUUUCCAAUUUUUCGGUCCUCCCAUUUGGUUUGCACGGGGCUCCCACAAACCUCCAGAGACUCAUGGAGUUCACACUGGAGAUGGACCAGAACUCCUUCCAGUGGAAAGCAUGAGGGACACCAACAGAUGGAUCACCCAGUGUUUUACAGAAUACAUGGUAUGGUGAUGUUACGCAGUCAAAAGACUGGCCGGUUCCAGAGAGCAUGAAUUUCAGUUCCCCUGAAGACACCAACUAACCCCAAACAUCACGAGGGAGGGAAGAAAAAUCUGUUUAAUUAAUUGUAUCUGUGUCUGUUUAAUUAAUUGUACACUCCUUUGGUUAUGUUUUGAUAGUUUUCAUCUACCCAGUGUGAAUUUUAGUACACACUGAGAAAGCAUUGUACUUCCAUCAUCAGCAUCAGCCAAAGCUCCUUCAUACACUGAUACAGACGGUAUACUUUAUUCUCUGAAUAAUGGCUGAUAAUAAUGGACUUAAAUAACACUUUAUCAGUUGACUUUAUUGCCAUUUAUAGUCCACGUAUCUCCUCAGUGUAUUCAUGUUUAUGUACUAAAAUUUAGAAUAGAAACCUCAACAGUAGGUAAAGUCAACAGUGACCCCUACUGGCCUGUCUGCGACAUUACACACUGUUUCCAUCAGUUACACAGUUCACUAGUUACUUCAUUACUAGCUCAUGGUUUGUGUGUGGAUCUCCAUUCAUAAUAAUAAUGAUAAUGAGACUUGA